CAAUGAAACAGUUCUUAUUACUGAUAAGUAUACUGGGAAUGGUCAUGUGCUGCAAGUUUUGGAAGGAGGGGGCACCGUGUGAUAGAGAAAACAACUGUGCUUAUGGGUGCCAUAAUGACAGAUGCUGGAGUGAGUGCAAUGGUAUCUGCUGUCUGACGAUCGACUGUUUUGGAGAGGAAAACAAGUGUACAGGCAAGUGUUCGAUAUCAGAGUGGUGCUACGUGGAGGGAGACUACUGGGACGGGUAUGUCAAGUGUAUGUUUGACAGUGACUGUAACAAAGAGAAAAUAGGUGCUCACAAGUGCGGCUCCUCCUGUACUGCUUAAAUUAAUCAGAUAAACGUUUGGAAACUUUUUGGAUG